GAUGAAGAACGCAGCGAAAUGCGAUAAGUAGUGUGAAUUGCAGAAUUCCGUGAAUCAUCGAAUCUUUGAACGCACAUUGCGCCCCCUGGUAUUCCGGGGGGCAUGCCUGUCCGAGCGUCAUUACAACCCUCAAGCUCAGCUUGGUAUUGGGCCCCGCCGACCCGGCGGGCCCUAAAGUCAGUGGCGGUGCCGUCCGGCUCCGAGCGUAGUAAUUCUUCUCGCUCUGGAGGUCCGGUCGUGUGCUCGCCAGCAACCCCCAAUUUUUUUCAGGUUGACCUCGGAUCAGGUAGGGAUACCCGCUGAACUUAAGCAUAUCAAUAAGCGGAGGA
rnacentral:misc_RNA from 1 species